CCUACGGGAGGCAGCAGUGAGGAAUAUUGGUCAAUGGACGAGAGUCUGAACCAGCCAAGUAGCGUGAAGGAUGACUGCCCUCUGGGUUGUAAACUUCUUUUAUAAAGGAAUAAAACGAGGCACGUGUGCCUUUUUGCAUGUACUUUAUGAAUAAGGAACGGCUAACUCCGUGCCAGCAGCCGCGGUAAUACGGAGGAUCCGAGCGUUAUGCGGAUUUAUUGGGUUUAAAGGGAGCGUAGAUGGGUUGUUAAGUCAGUUGUGAAAGGUUGCGGCUCAACCGUAAAACUGCACUUGAGACUGGCAAUCUUGAGUGCAGUAGAGGUAAGCGGAAUUCGUGGUGUAGCAGUGAAAUGCGUAGAUAUCACGAGGAACACCGAUUGCGAAGGCAGCUUACUAAACUGUGACUGACAUUGAGGCUCGAAAGUGUGGGUAGCAAACAGGAUUAGAUACCCUUGUAGUC
rnacentral:rRNA from 1 species